rnacentral:rRNA from 1 species
CGCUGGCGGCGUGCCUAAUACAUGCAAGUCGAGCGGAAUGAUGAAGAAGCUUGCUUCUUCUGAUUUUAGCGGCGGACGGGUGAGUAACACGUGGGCAACCUACCUUGUAGAUUGGGAUAACUCCGGGAAACCGGGGCUAAUACCGAAUAAUCCAUUUUGCUUCAUGGCGAGAUGUUGAAAGACGGUUUCGGCUGUCACUAUAAGAUGGGCCCGCGGCGCAUUAGCUAGUUGGUAGGGUAAUGGCCUACCAAGGCGACGAUGCGUAGCCGACCUGAGAGGGUGAUCGGCCACACUGGGACUGAGACACGGCCCAGACUCCUACGGGAGGCAGCAGUGGGGAAUCUUCCACAAUGGACGAAAGUCUGAUGGAGCAACGCCGCGUGAGUGAAGAAGGUUUUCGGAUCGUAAAACUCUGUUGUAAGGGAAGAACACGUACGAGAGUAACUGCUCGUACCUUGACGGUACCUUAUUAGAAAGCCACGGCUAACUACGUG